UCCAAACAUGCAUACAUUACAUAUACAUACAUAUGUUUAUAUAUAUAUAUAUAUAUAUGUAUUAUAUAUGUGCAUACAUUACAUAUACAUACAUAUGUUUAUAUAUAUAUAUAUUAUAUGUACACGUUGCUGGAGAAAGAAAAAAAACAAGAAGAAGAAAGGGUAGAAAUGGCCCCACGUGGCCUUCAUUUUUCCAUGCAAUUCCUUCCACCGCCAUCCAUUUUUCCUUUCAAUUGCUCUUUUUUUAUUCAUUUUUUUGCUCUGUUUUUGAGCUGUGGGGAAACCGAAGGAACAGAGUGAGAGUGAGAGAGAGAGACAGAGAGAGAAACGAUGAGAGGGAGAGAGAGAGGGAGGACAAGAGCAAGAGCUCGAAAGCACGGGAGGAAGGCAUAGAGCUCGGCAUGCAUGAGUUCAAGGGAGAGAAAGAUGAAAGGCACAAAUCGGGCUCGUGGAGACUGAAUUCUUGCACUUUGAAGGAUUGACUCAGUGAAAUGACUUUGACAAGCUCGAUAAGCUUCUAGCUGUGCGGAAGAACCACUUUUUGAUAUCGGGGAUCAGCUUGGAGAACUAGAUAAGCUAGGAGCUAGAUUAGUAGCACGGGAGAAUCUUUUUGCACAUCAGGGAUCAACGUGAAGGAUUUUGCAGCUAGACUUACUCGUGGUACAGCUCUUGCCCAGUUCCAGCGUCCCUCGCUCAAGAAUCUCUCCCACUUCCUUCUCGAGGACAAGUUUGACUCUCUCCAACCAGCCACGGACUUCUGGUGUUCUAACCAAGUGCUGAUCUUCCUCCCUCUUAACUCGU